rnacentral:rRNA from 1 species
GGGGAAUUUUGGACAAUGGGCGCAAGCCUGAUCCAGCCAUGCCGCGUGAGUGAAGAAGGCCUUCGGGUUGUAAAGCUCUUUCGGCCGGGAAGAAAUCGUGUUCUCUAACAUAGGACAUGGAUGACGGUACCGGACUAAGAAGCACCGGCUAACUACGUGCCAGCAGCCGCGGUAAUACGUAGGGUGCGAGCGUUAAUCGGAAUUACUGGGCGUAAAGCGUGCGCAGGCGGUUUUGUAAGACAGAUGUGAAAUCCCCGGGCUUAACCUGGGAACUGCGUUUGUGACUGCAAGGCUGGAGUACGGCAGAGGGCGGUGGAAUUCCACGUGUAGCAGUGAAAUGCGUAGAGAUGUGGAGGAACACCGAUGGCGAAGGCAGCCCCCUGGGCCUGUACUGACGCUCAUGCACGAAAGCGUGGGGAGCAAACA